UGGGGAAUAUUGCACAAUGGGCGCAAGCCUGAUGCAGCCAUGCCGCGUGUAUGAAGAAGGCCUUCGGGUUGUAAAGUACUUUCAGCGGGGAGGAAGGUGUUGAGGUUAAUAACCUCAGCAAUUGACGUUACCCGCAGAAGAAGCACCGGCUAACUCCGUGCCAGCAGCCGCGGUAAUACGGAGGGUGCAAGCGUUAAUCGGAAUUACUGGGCGUAAAGCGCACGCAGGCGGUCUGUCAAGUCGGAUGUGAAAUCCCCGGGCUCAACCUGGGAACUGCAUUCGAAACUGGCAGGCUAGAGUCUUGUAGAGGGGGGUAGAAUUCCAGGUGUAGCGGUGAAAUGCGUAGAGAUCUGGAGGAAUACCGGUGGCGAAGGCG
rnacentral:rRNA from 1 species